AAAAAAGAAAGAGAAAACAAUGAAAAGUUGAUUGUUGCGUUUUUAACAUUUCUCGCCAUCUCUUUUUUUUUGGUUUUCCUGGAGCACUUUUUUUUCACCGAAACUGACAGCUGUCCGCAGUCAAACUGAAACAACAAGAAGGCUUGAUUUCAAAG
rnacentral:ribozyme from 1 species